UACAGAGGGGGCAAGCGUUGCUCGGAAUCACUGGGCGUAAAGGGCGCGUAGGCGGGAUGGCAAGUCAGUCGUGAAAUCUCUCGGCUCAACCGAGAAACGUCGGCUGAUACUGCCGUUCUUGAGGGAUGCAGAGGAGACUGGAAUUCCCGGUGUAGCGGUGAAAUGUGUAGAGAUCGGGAGGAACACCAGAGGCGAAGGCGGCGACCUGGACAGGUACUGACACUCAACUGCGAAAGCGUGGGGAGCAAACAGG
rnacentral:rRNA from 1 species